CUGGUUAUAGAUUUUUUUUAUAACUUUCAUUAUUGUGACGACGCGCUAUGAAAUUCAGAUUAAUUUAUAAAUGAAGUUGUAUAUAAAUUUUUGGCCAUAAACAUAAAUCUUUUAAACAGUUCGACGAAUGCGUCAAUGUUACAGUAGUCUGUUUACUGUAAGUUACUAAGCUUGGCCCGAUUCAUCUGUCAUUUAUGGAAACUAAUUCACCACUUUCUGAGACAUUCAUUUGUAUUUCACCAUCAGACAUGGAGCUACAUUUGUAACUAAAGGAAAACUCUCAAAUUAAAGAAAUUUGACAUGAUAUACUGAAACUUUCUUAUAAUCAAUUAAACGACUGCUUUUCUUAGAUAUGUGAUUUUUCAUGGUCAAACUUUUUCAUUGUUAACGGACAUUUUGAGAUUUUUUA
rnacentral:lncRNA from 1 species